rnacentral:rRNA from 1 species
CGGAGGGAGCUAGCGUUGUUCGGAAUUACUGGGCGUAAAGCGCACGUAGGCGGCUUUGUAAGUCAGAGGUGAAAGCCUGGAGCUUAACUCCAGAACUGCCUUUGAGACUGCAUCGCUUGAAUCCAGGAGAGGUGAGUGGAAUUCCGAGUGUAGAGGUGAAAUUCGUAGAUAUUCGGAAGAACACCAGUGGCGAAGGCGGCUCACUGGACUGGUAUUGACGCUGAGGUGCGAGAGCGUGGGGAGCAAACAGGAUUAGAUACCCUGGUAGUCCACGCCGUAAACGAUGAUAACUAGCUGUCGGGGCACUUGGUGCUUCGGUGGCGCAGCUAACGCUUUAAGUUAUCCGCCUGGGGAGUACGGCCGCAAGGUUA